CCCCAGAGCUGGAUGACCACACACAACCAGGAACACAGCCUGUAACAUGGCCAGCCAGUCAGCCAGACACAGAUGUGACCCCACCCCAUCCACGGAGAGAGCUGAUUUUUAACAUCUUCCAGCCCACCACUGCCUAUGGCACCCUGGAGAGAAGAUCUGAGACUCCUUUCAAGUCAGAUGGUCUCUGAGUCCAAAGAAGCCUUGCCAUUACAGACCUGGGCCUGGACUUCAGCCCUCAUUUCCUGCUCUUAGGCACCAUCGUAGUCAAGCCAGUGAAGGGAAGACCUCCUCAACCCCAAGUUGGGAUUUAUAGACGGGAUAACCGAGAAGUGUGCGGCUGGGCUGUCUCAGAUGCAUCCAGAAAACAUGUUUGAAUCAGUCCCAAGACUACAUCCUUCUCUAGUUCCUUCACCUGGACGCAAGAUACCCUGCAACUGAAAUCCAUGGGCAAGAUAGGAUUCUUGAGUAAUAACACUG